rnacentral:rRNA from 1 species
AACGAACGCUGGCGGCAGGCCUAACACAUGCAAGUCGAGCGCGCCUUCGGGUGAGCGGCGGACGGGUGAGUAACGCGUGGGAAUAUGCCCUUCUCUACGGAAUAGUCCUGGGAAACUGGGGGUAAUACCGUAUACGCCCUUUGGGGGAAAGAUUUAUCGGGGAAGGAUUAGCCCGCGUUGGAUUAGGUAGUUGGUGGGGUAAUGGCCUACCAAGCCGACGAUCCAUAGCUGGUUUGAGAGGAUGAUCAGCCACACUGGGACUGAGACACGGCCCAGACUCCUACGGGAGGCAGCAGUGGGGAAUCUUAGACAAUGGGGGCAACCCUGAUCUAGCCAUGCCGCGUGAGUGAUGAAGGCCUUAGGGUUGUAAAGCUCUUUCAGCUGGGUAGAUAAUGACGGUACCAGCAGAAGAAGCCCCGGCUAACUCCGUG